rnacentral:tRNA from 1 species
GGGGCCUUAGCUCAGCCGGGAGAGCGCCUGCUUUGCACGCAGGAGGUCGGGGGUUCGAUCCCCCCAGGCUCCACUA